AGUGACAUUGAACAAUUUUAGAAAUAAAAAUUCAGUUUUCUUUAGUAUUAGGACAUAUUAGGUGCCAGCAGUCGCGGUCAUACCUAACUAAUUAAAUUUUUCGCAAAAGGAAUAACACACUUAAAACUAAAUUAGAUAGUAAAAUAUUAUUUUAGGGGAUCCAUAAUUAUGAUUUUUUUAAGAAAUUCUCUACAAAAACUAGGAUUAGAUACCCUACUAUUUUUGAAUAUAACAUAUACCUUUAAGCACUAAAAUCUUCAUGAUUAAAACUUAAAAAUUAUGGCGGUAAAUCAUAACUUUAGGGGAACUUACCAGAUAAUUGACAACCCACAUGUUCCUCAACUUUAUUUCUAUAGCUUAUAUAUUGCCGUUGUGAUUUUACUUAAGGUAAUAUCAAACUAUAUAUUAUUAUAUUAUAUAACAGGUCAUAGUGUAGCAUAUAAUAAAGUCUUAAGGCGAGUUACAAUAGAAAUUUUCUACGGAAUUAAUAUUUAAAAUAUUAAUUAAGAUGGACUUAAAAGUAAUUAUAAAAUAAAAUAAUAAAUAAUGAAUAUUAAAAAUGAUUUGUGUACAAAUCGCCCGUCAUUCUCUUUGCUUAAAAAAAGAGACAAGUCGUAACAUAGUAGAGGUAGCGGAAGCUGCUUCUU
rnacentral:rRNA from 1 species